rnacentral:rRNA from 1 species
AUACAUGAGAGUCGAGGGGCUGCGGAUCCCUCCGGGGAUGCCGGCGACCGGCGAACGGGUGAGUAACACGUAUGGAACCUACCCUUAACUGGGGAAUAGCCUUGAGAAAUCGAGGGUAAUACCCCAUAUCAUCUGAAAGAGGCAUCUCUUUCAGAUGAAAGCUCCGGCGGUUAAGGAUGGCCAUGCGGUCCAUUAGCUUGUUGGUGAGAUAACCGCUCACCAAGGCUGCGAUGGAUAGCUGAUCUGGGAGGAUGAUCAGCCACAUUGGCACUGAGACACGGGCCAAACUCCUACGGGAGGCAGCAGUAGGGAAUCUUGGUCAAUUGGCGAAAGCCAGAACCAGUCAUGCCGCGUGCAGGAUGAAGGCCCUACGGGUCGUAAACUGCUUUUAUUCGGGAAGAAAAAGUCUGUUUCCACAGAUCUUGACGGUACCGAUUGAAUAAGGACCGGCCAACUCCGUGCCAGCAGCCGCGGUAAUACGGAGGGUCCAAGCGUUAUCCGGAUUCACUGGGUUUAAAGGGUGCGCAGGCGGCCAAGUAAGUCAGUGGUGAAAGCCUUCGGCUCAACCGGAGAAUUGCCAUUGAAACUACUUGGCUUGAGUGCAGCAGAGGUAGGCGGAAUGUAGCAUGUAGCGGUGAAAUGCAUAGAUAUGCUACAGAACACCGAUAGCGAAAGCAGCUUACCACACUGUAACUGACGCUGAGGCACGGAAGCAUGGGUAGCAAACAGGAUUAGAUACCCUGGUAGUCCAUGCCGUAAACUUUGAACACUCGGAGUUUGUCACCUAGUGGUAAGCUCCCUAGCGAAAGCGUUAAGUGUUCCACCUGGGGAGUAUGGUCGCAAGGC